ACCUGUUCAGUGCGUCACCACCCUCUGAGUGAAAAACUUCCUCCUAAUAUCCAACCUACACCUCCCCUGUCUCAGUUUAAGACCAUUCCCCCUUGUCCUAUCACUAUCCACCCCCUGUGAUUCUAAGAGAUUCUUGUAAGCCACAAGUAGCCACUGUAUAGUCAUUAGGAAGGUAACAUUAUUAGUGUUGAGUCCUUUAAAGCUUCUUGGCCAUAUUCAGCACUGUAAUAGGUAAUUUCUUUGAUGAUAGUACUGCAUCCACUUGUUGUGAGCAUGCUUCCUUAGAGCUUCACGUGCCCUCUGAAUUUGGGCUUGAUUCUAUUCCAUGCUGAGCCCUCGAUGAGUGUGGAGCUCUUCACCUUCCUUAUCUGUUAAAAAUGUCAUGGAGAUGUUAUAAUCUGUCUAGCUGAGGGUUAAGAAUGCUGGGAGUGGCAGCAGCAGAAGGAACAAAUGGCAGAAGGUACAAGAAUGGCAUUUGGUGGUGGCAUCCGGACGAGCAGGUCAUUGCAGUACAGGUGUACCCACAGAGAGGCUGUCCACCUGCAGGCAGCCAGCGUGCUCACAGGGAUGGCCUCUCCAUGGAGUGAAGCAGCACUGCUGGUUCCUUCCAGAGGAGGAAUAAGUGAGACCUGAGGACGGAUACCCCUUGUCCUCCAGCUCGUCCCAAUGGGAGGCAAAGCCCCGGCUAGAACUUGGCACUUCUGAGCAUAGGAGUGGGAGAAUACCGUAGAAUCAUUUGAGUUGGAGGGGCCCUUAAAGGCCACGUGGUCCAACUCCCUGCACUGAACAGGGCCACCCACAUCUCCAUCAGUGCUCACAGCCCCAUCCAGCCUGACCUCGGCUGUCUGCAGAGGUGGGGCUUCCACCAUCUCUGGGCAACCUGUGCCAGCGCCUCACCAUCUUGACUGUAAAAAAAACUUCUUUCUUAUACCCAAUCUACAUUUCCCCUCUUUGAGUUUGAGGCCAUUUCCCCUUGUCCUAUCAAUAUGACUGAAAUGAGCUUUAAUUUUUCUCCUCUUUUCUCAGGUCUCUGCAGGUGCACUGCGCUGUUGCUGCCGCAGUGUGCCAUCAUUUCCUGUGUGACAGUCUUUAAGACCACCACAAGGUGUGAAAGUUUCGGGUUUUUCUCAGCAGAGGAUGCACUUUGCUAACGCAACACCCCAUGCCAAGAGCUGGACAUUUUAACACACCGAUUUAACCCCUUUUUCCAUACCUCUUAUUUAUACAACAUUGCAGCCACACCGUAGCCGAGAUGAACGCACAAGCCCAUGAAGGUUAACUGGUUGUUGCACAUGCAGACACCUCCUUAGCCCAUGAGGCUGAUGCAGCACCUCGGCCUGGCUGCACACUGCAGUGCUCGCAGCACACUGGGAUGAAAUCCUUCCCGGGAUGGUUGGAGGCAGCGCCUGCUCCCAGCACCGCUCAGGGAAGCCUUAAUGAAAAGCAGCUCAUCAGCAGUUACGUAACCUAAUGAUAAUCCAGCUCAGGCCGGGCAAUGCUUAAAGCCACAGCGUCUCUCUGCUGUGACCUAUUUUAUGCUCGAUGCAAGGGCAAAAGUAUGCAGUGUGUAACUUCGCCGGGUCUCUUACGUCGAGUCGUUGCCUGUCGUAGGGUAAAUACACCGUUCCUCAUCACGCCGGACAAGUUAAUGACACAGCUGGUUGCAGAAAGGAGCUUGUAACGUUGCGCCGAGCUGAAGAAACACCGCCUGUUAUGUGUAGCACGGAAGAGGAAUGAGGAUCCACUGCAUGAUUCCAUCAGUCUACAAUUCUAUGAUUCAACAUUUUUCUUUGCUUUGGUUGCUUUUCUUCCCCAUUUAUGCAUAUGGAACAACUUUCCCUGUUGGUCAGCUGCUGUGGCUGCAGAUAGGAGCAAGAAGGGAGCUGGAGCAGAGCAAGGGCAGGGAAAAUUGGUCCAAUUCAGUGACAGUUCCAGCCUCAAACACGGGUAGCUCUGUGUGUCUCCUGCUAUCAGUCUGUGCUACUCCUGCAGCAAGCUGGAUCCAUGACAUUGCCAGUGCUUUGGGGUGCUGGCAUCCGGGCUCUGAGCUCAUGAGGGUCCUAUGUGAGGUUAGAGAAUCACACUAUCAUGAAAUUAUGGAAUCAUUAGGGGUUAGGAGGGACCUCUGGAGAUCAUCAACCCCCUGCUAAAGCAGGUUCUCUGCAGUCAGUACAAAUGGCAAUAACCUGACUUGGAGAGGUUGCCUGUGCUCUGGCUGGCUGAAAAUUACUACGAAGAAGAUUUACAGUGGAGCACUGUCGUUGGAGUGACCAGAGAUGUGAAAGGAGAAUCAACAUGCCCAUUAAAACUGAAUGAAUGUAAAAUCCCACAGCAGAGUGGAAACUGAAACUGGGAAUGGGAAGUGCUCAGAUUGUGUCUCUGUCCUUUUGGUAUACGGGAUCCUCCCCGAGCAAGCAGCAACCUGUCGUUUCAGCAAUGCAAGGCUUCCCCUCAGUGGCAACAAGGCAGCAGGGUGUCCUGCUGCUACACCACAAUAAAAGCAUUUUGCUUUUUUUUUUUUUUUUUCUUCAAAGGCAAAGUCCAGUAAAAAUGUGGCUCUGAAGUAAAGGAAAUAUUUACAGCAGAGGCUGCUGGCUGGGCUGGGUGUAAUGGUAUACAGCAAUACAAGAGGCCAAAGUGAUACUACUUUAUGAGCCAAGAGUUUUUAACUCUUUUGGUAUAGGAGACAGCUGCCUACACGAGGCACUUAGGGAACAAAUGAAACUUGAGCGGUGUCAUACUGGGAUCAUAGAAUAUGGACAAAAGCAACAGAAAGGAGUAUAUUUUUUUACAAGAAAAGGAUUAACUGGAGAACAGUGGUUGCAGUGCUAAAGCUCCUACCCAAGUGCAGCUGGCGAGAUUGCUGACAGCGCAGGGGGCUCUCCCAGAAAUGAGUUCUUCCUGCAAAAAUACCCAUCCCCAUCAACAUCUAUUAUCUAAAAGGUGAUGUCCAGGUUGAUUUAAUUUCCAGUCCUGGAAAUGAAAUGGGACCAUGGUAUUAGGAGACAUGUGAGCUCAGAUUAUGCAUACAAAAAAGACGACAGCCAAAUUGUCUAUGUACGGGCAGACUGCAUUUGCCUUACCCCAAAAGAUUUACCAGUUGCUAUGGUUACUCAAUAUUACAGCUCAAUAGAUUGGUAAUGUGAACUGAUAGAUCUAGAAAUACACUGCAAGAUGGAAUUAAAGAGGUCCUGCUGAAACACAGCCUGAAAAAUCCUGUGCUCCUGAUGAGGCGGAAACACUUUGCUGCUGACGGGCUGGUCAUGGUUCCCAGAUGCGUGGCAGGGGUCCCACCAAAUAGCAGUGAGAUGUGUGCUUGGUGUCUUGUGCAGCCAGAGGUGUAAAACACACGUCAAAGGGAUAAUAAAACACAGUCCAAACUGUCUCACAUGGAAUCUCUUGAGUAAAUCAUGGCCGAGUCUCAGCAAGUACAGGGAGGAGGCAAAGGCUGGCAGCAAGCAAGAAGUCUUUCUAUGAAGUUUGAAAAUCAGCAGAGGUUUCAAGAGCUGAUCACCCUAAGCUGCAGCUGUGCUGCAGGUGGCUUAUUUCAACCCUGAGCCCUUUUUUGUUGAGUUUUGUUCCUUCUUCUUUUGAGGAGGGAGAGUGAGAAUGGUAUGGUGGAGCAGAGCUUCCCAUUGGGGUGACUCCUCAGUGCCCACCAUUGUCCUUCACCCAGAAGAGAGAGUUUAAGGGAAGAUUUUCCCCCACUUCAUAUUCCAUUGCAAUUAUCACCAACUUCAUCUGCCACUGCAGUGUGCUGACUUGAUUUGCAUCGAUUCCCCUGAACUAUACCUAAUUUCUCCAGACACUGCCAACAGGAGUCCCACCUGCAAGUCCCACCCUAACUGCUCCUCUCCCAGUCAGAUUUUACUCAAUGCGUUAAAAACUCAACACACUGCCCUAUUACAGGUUGCUGUGGUCACAAAAUAGAUUGGAUUGUAAGUGAUGUUAAAGUUUAGCAUUUAGUUUCAACCCAGCGUGGGGUUGCCAACCAAUGAUGGCAGAUGGAAGACCAAAACCAGGCGUUUCUUUGUGCUUUUUGUCUCCCAGCUCCUUUUGGUGCAGCUGUUCCCCAGCUCCAACAGACCAGCUGCUGCUGGGAGAGCACGAGAAGGGAAAAGUCCGUGGCACAACGGUGCGGAAAGUGGGAAGCAGAGACCUCCAUCAGCAAAAUGGGAAAGCAGAAUUUCUCUUCCAUAGGGGUUUAGUAAGGGGAAAUUCAGAAAUGACCAAGUUUGAGUGCUGUGCUGGUACAGAGACGAUGGAGGUCAAAGGUAGGAAUGGAGUGGGGAGAAAUAUGACAGUUUUUAAAGGGCAGCCAGGGAAGAAAUGCAAACAUUGAGAGCGUUUUAAAGAAGCAAAGAGAUGAAAACCAGCCUGAAAAAAACACAUUAAAUCAGAAAAAUUGCCACAACAACUAAAGCAGAGAAUAGGAAGAGAAAAAGGAAAGCCCAAAGGGAUCGUAAUGCAAUCUUCUUUUUACUUACAGCUUCGACUCUUCAUUCAAUUUUUUGAAUGCCAGCUUCAUUAGUGGUUUUGGCUAGGCCCUUACAAACAAAUCAGGCAGCACUUUACCAACACCCGCCUGCGAGGAGGUGAGAGGCUUUAGGAAGUCACACAUCGUCCUUUUUAGCUGGCUGGGGUAGCCCUGCUGAUGGGAAAAUCGGCCAAGAGGACACCAAGGCUGGCAUUGGGUUUUCCACUGACUUCUUAGAAAGCAUGCUCUUGUUCUGCAGCAAAAACAAAGAAAGAAAGAAAGAAAAAAAAACCAACCCACCAACAUUCUGCAGGGUUUGUCCUGCUGAAAAGGCAGAAAAGAUACUGUUAGAAAAGGUUGGUGCACUCCCACUACUGACACAGCAUCUCCAAAAGAGAUGAUAACAUACAGAUUGGAAAGCCAACAGUGCACAACUGGAAAUGUCCUUCCAUUGAAUAGUUCUUUGCCGAAAGGUCUUGUACAACCAUUGGAACCAUCUUCAUGAGCAAGGUUAUGCCAGAGGAUGGCACCAAAUGGAAGUUGGAGGCCUUGGGCCAUCGAGAUUUUGCAUGGCCGUGAAACUUGCUGGGAUUUUCUUCAUGUUUUGCUCAGUGAGAAAGGGAAGGGACCAAUCUCAUGGGAUUGUUUUGCUGCAAAGGGGGGGAGGAAAGGUUCCACGAGGGAAUUUGGGCAAGUUUUAUGUUGGAAGAGCAGGGCUGGGAUGUGGCAAUGGGACCCCUUGGAGCUGCGGAUGGAGGUUGACACAACUAGGAAGUUGUUGAACUCACCGCUGUCUGCAUCCUCAUUAACGAAAAUGAAGAGAACGCUUAAAUGUAAUUAUACUUAAUACAAUACUUAAAGAAAAAACAACAGGAUCCCCGAUUUCAGUUUCUAUUUGCGUAGUGCGAUGAGAUUCUGGCAGAGCAGUGUGAAAGCAAUGAGGAAACACACGCCUUUGCAGCACUGCCUCCUAGCCCAGGGAAGAAACUUUCCUCUGUACCAGGGCUUCUCUCUGACACCUCUCACGUUCCUUUUGUUGGAUUCUUUUCUAUCCUUUUUUAACUUAACCUCCCUAUUCCCACGGAAGCCUUGUUUCUCGUCUUUGUACUUGAUCUCCUACAUCAGAGAGCCGCUGCUUCUGCAGCCAUGCAGCGCUUGCCCUGCCCAUGCAGAUGACAAAUUAAUCUAACAUUUCACGUCCCAGAAAUACUUAUUAUUUCUUCCCUCCCUUUUGUUCUUGCCAUUGCAGUGCUGCUCAAGUGGGGAGCCUUGCCUCCCUGGGGGAGCUCCGCUUUCUUCCCAGGGAGACCGCAGCGAGUCCAAG